rnacentral:lncRNA from 1 species
AAGAAUUUAAUGCUCUUGUUUCCCAUAACUUGUUUAACAAAUUACUGGGUAUUCCAAUUCCAUUUCACACCGGGCCUCCCUCUUAAAGGCUGGUAUGAAUUACUUAAGGCCUUACCCGACUCUUUUAGUGCCCGACAAAGCCUUUAGGGCAACUAUUCUGGACCGGGAAAAAGGCCCAAUGAACAAAAGCCCAGUCCAUAUCAAGUCUAUUAUACUCUACC